AGUGAGAAGAGAGAAACGGGCGAACGGUUCGUACGACAAUAAGGUAUCGAUUAGUUAAUCAGAGAUGAAAUAAUGUAAAAUACAAGUGCAAAAGCAAGUAUACAUUAUUAUAUUUACUAUAAUACGAGGGGUUCAUCGUGUCGGUUAUCUCUCCGAUCUUGAGAGAGAGAGAGAGAGAGAAAAGAGAAGUGAAUAUAAAGGGGAGAGGGGAUUUCACACGAGGGACGAGGCUCCUUUCUUUUUUUAAAGAGUUAUCCUUAAACGCGAAAAUGCGCUGUGAAACGUCGCGGAACUUUUUUUUUUUUCUUCCUGAAGCGGAAAUCAGAAAAGCGAGGACGCGAUCGAUAUAUAUAUAUAUAUAUGGGAUAGAAAAAUAGAGGAAGAGAGAAGCGAGGAGGUGGUUGGAACGAGCAAAGUAGAAUGGAUCUCUCGAUCCCUCGCUUUAGCGGCGUCGUUUCCUUUUUUUUUAUUUUUUUUUUUCCCCCUCGAAAGAGGACGAUGACACGGCUGGAUCGCGCGAUGAUCGAUCUCGAUCGCCGCGUGCACAUACCAAAGGAUCGUAGAUUUUACGCGAGUAAAGGUGAAU